UGGCCGGGGCUUCUUCUGGAGGUACCGUCACUUUCGCUUCUUCCCUCCUGAAAGAGGUUUACAACCCGAAGGCAUUCAUCCCUCACGCGGUGUCGCUGCGUCAGGCUUUCGCCCAUUGCGCAAUAUUCCCUGC
rnacentral:rRNA from 1 species